CUACGGGAGGCAGCAGUGGGGAAUAUUGCACAAUGGGCGUAAGCCUGAUGCAGCGACGCCGCGUGGGGGAUGACGGCCUUCGGGUUGUAAACUCCUUUCGUCAGGGAAGAAGCCUUUGGGUGACGGUACCUGGAGAAGAAGCACCGGCUAACUACGUGCCAGCAGCCGCGGUAAUACGUAGGGUGCGAGCGUUGUCCGGAAUUAUUGGGCGUAAAGAGCUUGUAGGCGGUUUGUCGCGUCUGCGGUGAAAACCCGGGGCUUAACCUUGGGCGUGCCGUGGGUACGGGCAGGCUAGAGCGUGGUAGGGGAGACUGGAAUUCCUGGUGUAGCGGUGAAAUGCGCAGAUAUCAGGAGGAACACCGAUGGCGAAGGCAGGUCUCUGGGCCAUUACUGACGCUGAGAAGCGAAAGCAUGGGGAGCGAACAGGAUUAGAAACCCGUGUAGUCC
rnacentral:rRNA from 1 species